GCCGCUCUAGCUCACCAGGCAGAGCAUCCGUUUGAAGCACGGAAGGCGCGAGGUUCGAGACCUCGGGGCGGCAC
rnacentral:tRNA from 1 species